CAUGCAAGUCGAGCGAACGGACAAGGAGCUUGCUCCUUUGAAGUUAGCGGCGGACGGGUGAGUAACACGUGGGUAACCUACCUAUAAGACUGGAAUAACUCCGGGAAACCGGGGCUAAUGCCGGAUAACAUGUUGAACCGCAUGGUUCAACAGUGAAAGACGGUCUUGCUGUCACUUAUAGAUGGACCCGCGCCGUAUUAGCUAGUUGGUGGGGUAACGGCCUACCAAGGCGACGAUACGUAGCCGACCUGAGAGGGUGAUCGGCCACACUGGAACUGAGACACGGUCCAGACUCCUACGGGAGGCAGCAGUAGGGAAUCUUCCGCAAUGGGCGAAAGCCUGACGGAGCAACGCCGCGUGAGUGAUGAAGGUCUUCGGAUCGUAAAGCUCUGUUGUUAGGGAAGAACAAAUGUGUAAGUAACUGUGCACGUCUUGACGGUACCUAACCAGAAAGCCACGGCUAA
rnacentral:rRNA from 2 species